rnacentral:misc_RNA from 1 species
UCCGGUUUGUCACCGGCAGUAUCCCAUGAGUCCCCGGCAUCAUCCGCUGGCAACAUGGGACAGGGGUUGCGCUCGUCGCGGGACUUAACCCAACAUCUCACGACACGAGCUGACGACAGCCAUGCACCACCUGUGACGGCGCCCCGAAGGGACCCCCCGUUUCCGGGAGUAUCACCGACAUGUCAAGCCCAGGUAAGGUUCUUCGCGUUGCGUCGAAUUAAACCACAUGCUCCACCGCUUGUGCGGGCCCCCGUCAAUUCCUUUGAGUUUCAGCCUUGCGGCCGUACUCCCCAGGCGGGGCACUUACUGCGUUAGCGACGGCACUCAGAGGGUCGCUCCCCCAAGCACCUAGUGCCCAUCGUUUACGGCGUGGACUAC